CCUGCUUCUCAUUUUAGGAAGUCUGGAGUUGUCCUGGAACCCUCGCCUAAGCAAACACAACUGCAGCCUGACAGUGGCUUAAAUCGCUUCUCACUGCACAGGAAUACUUGUCACAUAAGAGCAGCUAAAAUCUACAAUCUCUUCAGGAGGCACCCCACCAGAAACAGCAGCAAUACUACAGCUACGUGGAUAGCACGAUUAUUUUCCACUCUGUACAAGAAAACACAAAGCUGCUGAAAAGAAACACCUUUUAGUCACCUUCUCCCCAUUCAGUCUUACAGGCUACUGUGAAGUCAAGCAGCAAAAAAAAAACAAUAAUCAAAGCUGCCCAAAUUAGUCAUGUUUACACGAAUUUAACGCAUUUUCAGAAGCGUUGAUACAUCUGGUUGUGAAAUCAAAGGCAUCUUUCCCCAGCUGAUCCCCUGCUUAUUAAUGCAAAAUGAGGCAUUCCGAGUAUGCUGUUCUUUUCUAAAGAUCAGAAGAUUUAUGAGGUGAGUCAGACACAGCCCUUGCUCAUUUCGCACCUAAAAUUAUUUGGCAUGCCCCAAAUUUAAAUACGCAUAUCUCAGUUUCUCAUACGGAAAUUAAAGCAUCCUUACUUCAGAGGGAUGCUAUAAAUCUGUUUCUAAAAUGUGGACAUAGUAAUGCAGCGGCUGUCCCCUCAAAGACCCGAAGGAGAUGAGUAACUCUUCGCACAGAGGAAGGUUUCAGGUGCAUGCAGCACAUCACACGCGGCACCGCGCCCUGCACCUCAGGGAUGAAACCCCGCGCGGCCCAGCUUUAACCUGAAUAGCGCGGCAACGUCAAUCCCGCACCCCGGACGGGACAGAAGGUUUUCACAAACGGCGGUGAGGAAAUUGAAGCCAGCAGAGAGCAGGAGGAUGGCUGAACUGCAACACUCCCUCAGGCCCUCCCAGCACCUCAUUUUUUUGACUCGCGAGAACUUUUGCCGACCGGGUGCCGCAUCCCUCACGCUGCACGCCUCUCCUGCUUCAGGACUCCUCAACCGUUUUUCCUAGGCCUCUAAAUGGUAAAGUAAAACGCUCCCUAUAUAGCUCACUGAUAGCAGCCUUCAACGGGCACUUGGGCAAACUAAGUUAAGGGAAACUCGAACAAAAGGACACAGAGAUACAAUCCAGGGAGGAUGAUCUCGCCGAUUUAGGAAGAAGACACCUGGACUUAAGAGCGGACACCGUGAAGAAGACCACGUGCUUCUUCCCUCAACCACUGAAGACCCUCACUCUAUUUUUACUACGCAUGCUCAGACUAUGUAAAUGAAUUCUGGGAACUCGUAAGACACCCCUUUCCAGGAAAUCUAAUGUGUAUGAUUUGUGUGUAUGUAAACUGAUGUCCCUUGCUAGUUCAUGGGAGCCCUUAUGGUGGAGAAUCCUCAGGGCGACCCCAGCGCUGCUAAUAAAGAAUACCUGCUGAACAGUUCUGCUGGAUUCCGACUGUGCAGUGAAUUUCCUCGUCUCACCACUUAGACACGUUCUUCAAGAUGACAGCCACAGGUAUGCCCCACUGGCACUACAGAGAGCAGAGGUCUUGCAGGUUCCCCACACACUGACCCCGAGGCACCCCUGGGCAGGCGCUAUCCUGGAGUAUGCCUGCCAUUUCCUG
rnacentral:lncRNA from 1 species